AACGAACGCUGGCGGCAUGCCUAACACAUGCAAGUCGAACGAGACCUUCGGGUCUAGUGGCGCACGGGUGCGUAACGCGUGGGAAACUUGCCCUUAGGUUCGGAAUAACUCCCCGAAAGGGGUGUUAAUACCGGAUAAUGUCUCCGGACCAAAGAUUUAACGCCUUUGGAUGGCCCGGGGUUGGAUUAGCUAGUUGGUAGGGUAAAAGCCUACCAAGGCGACGAUCCAUAGCUGGUCUGAGAGGAUGAUCAGCCACACUGGGACUGAGACACGGCCCAGACUCCUACGGGAGGCAGCAGUGGGGAAUAUUGGACAAUGGGCGAAAGCCUGAUCCAGCAAUGCCGCGUGAGUGAUGAAGGCCUUAGGGUUGUAAAGCUCUUUUACCCGGGAUGAUAAUGACAGUACCGGGAGAAUAAGCUCCGGCUAACUCCGUG
rnacentral:rRNA from 1 species